CACAUCUGCAGAUGAAUAAAAACACUUUUAAAAGUGGCCUCAGAAAGCUGUGUUCAUCACGUACACCCUGCAGGCACGGCGGAAAGAUCCCUACCGCGAAACUGACCCUUCAGCUCCUGACAAAAGCUGGGAGACACCGUUAGGCGGGCAGCCAGCCCCUCCUGCACUGAGACGCUGAUGGCUUGGCCCUUCCCCACUCCAGUGGAGACUGUCCCAUUAGAACUCAUUCUUCAAGUGAACCCAAGAGGAACGAAGUUAUUACGUACACGUAGUUUCUAGAGAACAGAAAACGAGGAUCCGGGGAUCAGAAAUAAAAGGACACACAAGGAUGUGAACGCCCACCAGGUACGAACACGUUUCAGAUACGGACUUGAGAGUCUCUGAUAUACUUUCUUCCCAUCCCAAGGAGGAGCUGGCGCCGUAUCUGGACACCCUGCUCAAUUCAGCAUCAACCUCUCGCUUAUAACUGUGAAGCCUUUUUUCUUGAAGCCAUUUUUGUUGUCUCUCUUUUGUUAAAAAGAGAGAAACUUAAAGAUAUUCUCCAGCAUAUUAGAGAUUUGGGGGGAAGACUUCAUAUUAAGCCAAGUCAUAAGUGAUUAAGUCUGUGCUAGUAGAGAGCUACACAUAGCCACAGGUGACAGAGAGCUACACAGAGCCGCAGGUGAUAGAGAGCUACACAGAGCCGCAGGUGACAGAGAGCUACACAGAGCCGCAGGUGAUAGAGAGCUACACAGAGCCGCAGGUGACAGAGAGCUACACAGAGCCGCAGGUGAUCACCGAUUACUUUCAAAGGCAGCUCCCAUCCACCGUAAGAAGAUUUAAACCAUUUAAACCAUAGAGAAAACAAGUGAAACAGAUUCACAGAUUUCAUUUCCAACGCCCUUUUCUGGAUAAAGUAUAGAAUAUAUAGAUGUUGGCUUCUGCCUUUUCUCAUGAUUCACAUCAACUCGAUCACGACUCAACCAUCCUUCACACGGGCCGCGU